rnacentral:rRNA from 1 species
AUGUCCUUUCAUUGUGCCCUUACCAUGGCUGGCGCGAUGAUCAAUUUCACUUGCAGGCCAAGAGGAAGGGGCGGAGCCAUGGGCAACUCCGGCAGCACAGCUCCUGCACCGCUAGGAAAGACCCAUGUUCCAGAUUUAGAAUGGAAGGUUCAUGACUUCUCAGCGCUAGUUGAGACGAAAGCUAUCUCGGCAUUAUCUCCUCCUUUUCACUGCUCUGGGUACAAGUGGUUCCUGCAAGUGAACCCUAAGCACAAACAAGAUGAUAAAGGAAAUCAAUAUGUUGCUCUUUCUCUCGGGAUAUCCCCUGUAUGCUUGGAGCUAGGUCACACAGUGCAUGCAGAGUUUGAGUUGUCAAUAUUCAAGCAUUCAAAAGGAAUGUAUUGUGGAUCCAAAGCUAACUACAACUUCGAUGUCAAGAAUACCUACUCAAACAAGGAAUGCUUGAUUCCUCUUGAGGAGCUACUGAAAUCAUCUACUUUUCUAGUUGAUGAUAGCUGUGUCUUUGGUGCGAAGAUAUUAAAAAUUGAUGUCUCUUCUCCUGAAAAGAAGGUUGUCGUGGUUCAGAAGAAGGCUACCACAGUUCAGAACCUCUUUGUCCAGAAGAAGGGAUUCAUCAAAGGGACAUACACUUGGACCAUGGACAAUUUCCUAGAGUUGGACUCUCAGCGUCCUGUCCGUUCUCCUACGUUUGAAGUUGGCGGACAAAAAUGGUACAUCGGCAUGCAUCCGCGUGGUAACAGGAGCAGCACUGAUUGCCUCACCUUGGGCUUGUACCUGGAUUCUUCGGAUGAGCUCUUUAUCGAGUCUAGGAAGGUGGUUCAAAUCAGUCUGUCUAUCCUGGACCAAAAGAAUGGGAAAUACUUCACUAAAACUACAGGUCUCUUGGUGUAUACAUGUCCAGAAGGCUGGGUAUUGUCCAACUUCUUGCCACUCAAGGAACUCAAUGAUAUGUCCAGAGGCUAUCUUAUAGAAUCAAAGUGCGUCCUCAAGGCAGAUCUCACUAUCUUUGGAUCAUCCAUUGACGGCUAG